rnacentral:tRNA from 1 species
GGCCCUAUCGUCUAGCGGCCUAGGACAUCGGCCUCUCACGCCGGUAACACGGGUUCGAGUCCCGUUGGGGUCACCA